AUUGAACGCUGGCGGAAUGCUUUACACAUGCAAGUCGAGCGGCAGCGCGGGGGCAACCCUGGCGGCGAGCGGCGAACGGGUGAGUAAUACAUCGGAACAUGUCCAGUUGUGGGGGAUAGCCCGGCGAAAGCCGGAUUAAUACCGCAUGGGCUCGAGAGAGGAAAGCGGGGGACCGUAAGGCCUCGCGCGACUGGGUUGGCCGAUGUCCGAUCAGCUAGUUGGUGGGGUAAAGGCCUACCAAGGCGAUGAUCGGUAGCUGGUCUGAGAGGAUGAUCAGCCAAAAUGGGACUGGGAAACGGCCCAGACUCCUACGGGAGGCAGCAGUGGGGAAUUUUGGACAAUGGGGGAAACCCUGAUCCAGCCAUUCCGCGUGAGUGAAGAAGGCCUUCGGGUUGUAAAGCUCUUUUGUCCGGAGCGAAACGGUUAGGGUGAAUAUCCCUGACUACUGACGGUACCGGAAGAAUAAGCACCGGCUAACUACGUGCCAGCAGCCGCCGUAACAC
rnacentral:rRNA from 1 species